rnacentral:rRNA from 1 species
GACAGAGGGUGCAAACGUUGUUCGGAAUUACUGGGCGUAAAGCGCGUGUAGGCAGCUCGGCAAGUCGGAUGUGAAAGCCCUGGGCUCAACCUAGGAAGUGCAUUCGAAACUUCCGAGCUGGAGUGCUGGAGAGGAAGGCGGAAUUCUCGGUGUAGAGGUGAAAUUCGUAGAUAUCGAGAGGAACACCGGUGGCGAAGGCGGCCUUCUGGACAGUAACUGACGCUGAGACGCGAAAGCGUGGGGAGCAAACAGG